rnacentral:rRNA from 1 species
GACGAACGCUGGCGGCGUGCUUAACACAUGCAAGUCGAACGGAAAGGCCCUGCUUUUGUGGGGUGCUCGAGUGGCGAACGGGUGAGUAACACGUGAGUAACCUGCCCUUGACUUUGGGAUAACUUCAGGAAACUGGGGCUAAUACCGGAUAGGAUCUCCUGCUGCAUGGUGGGGGUUGGAAAGUUUCGGCGGUUGGGGAUGGACUCGCGGCUUAUCAGCUUGUUGGUGGGGUAGUGGCUUACCAAGGCUUUGACGGGUAGCCGGCCUGAGAGGGUGACCGGCCACAUUGGGACUGAGAUACGGCCCAGACUCCUACGGGAGGCAGCAGUGGGGAAUAUUGCACAAUGGGCGGAAGCCUGAUGCAGCAACGCCGCGUGCGGGAUGACGGCCUUCGGGUUGUAAACCGCUUUCGCCUGUGACGAAGCGUGAGUGACGGUAAUGGGUAAAGAAGCAACGGCUAACUACGUG